rnacentral:rRNA from 1 species
UGGGGAAUAUUGCACAAUGGGCGCAAGCCUGAUGCAGCCAUGCCGCGUGUGUGAAGAAGGCCUUCGGGUUGUAAAGCACUUUCAGCGAGGAGGAAGGUGGUGGACUUAAUACGUUCAUCAAUUGACGUUACUCGCAGAAGAAGCACCGGCUAACUCCGUGCCAGCAGCCGCGGUAAUACGGAGGGUGCAAGCGUUAAUCGGAAUUACUGGGCGUAAAGCGCACGCAGGCGGUUUGUUAAGUCAGAUGUGAAAUCCCCGGGCUCAACCUGGGAACUGCAUUUGAAACUGGCAAGCUAGAGUCUCGUAGAGGGGGGUAGAAUUCCAGGUGUAGCGGUGAAAUGCGUAGAGAUCUGGAGGAAUACCGGUGGCGAAGGCGGCCCCCUGGACGAAGACUGACGCUCAGGUGCGAAAGCGUGGGGCAGCAAACAGGAUUAGAUACCCUGGUAGUCCACGCUGUAAACGAUGUCGAUUUGGAGGUUGUGCCCUUGAGGCGUGGCUUCCGGAGCUAACGCGUUAAAUCGACCGCCUGGGGAGUACGGCCGCAAGGUU